rnacentral:lncRNA from 1 species
UAUGGAGGAACAAACUUCAGAAAUAUCAAAACUACCCGAACAGGUAUAUUUAUUUAUGAUUAUGAAUAGCUAAAUUCAUAAUUCCCAAUAAUCAUGAUAUGAUAAAAUAAAUUCAUAUUAGUUACUUUAUAGUAGAAUUAUUCGAAGAAUAAUAUGUUAAGAAGUUUAUUAACAAAGAGGAAACGGAGAAAUAUCCCUAAGGACUAUGCCAUCCUAAAGGUGAAACCAUUGAGGCAAGAAGCCGUGGCGGGGAGUAACCAGAGUAGAGGCGCUGUUUAAGGGAAAAAGUAUCCAGAUUACCAUGUUAAUAGUGACGGAAGAACAUAUUAUUUAAGAAUAAUCUAGUAUAUAGUAAGCCAAUAUGACCAUAUUUUGUUGUGUACGUGAUUGAAGGGAAUAUUUUGAAAAAAGCAAAUUUAUGAAAAAUGAAUGAUAAUAUAUCUGAUGUGAUGGUAGAUAAAUUCAAGAUACUUAUUUUAUAUGCACUUAGAAAUAUAAAAGUAGCAGAUAUAAGAAAAAUAAUAUUAGAAAAAGCUUUUGGUAAAAAUUAUAUGUCUAGAAUAAGCUAUAUACCACAAAUACCUAACUACUCUUAUAAAUACUUAAGGUGAUAAAUUACAUAAAAUUUUAGAAAAAAGAUAAAAAAAAAAACUUUUGCAGUUACUAGAAAAAAUAAAAAUAAACACAUGGAAAACAAAGAUAUAAAAUUUCUUAAUAAAAAUAUGCAAAAACUACUAAGACUAAAACAAACAGCUACAAAACAAUUUU